rnacentral:rRNA from 1 species
UGGGGGAUAUUGCACAAUGGGCGAAAGCCUGAUGCAGCGACGCCGCGUGAGGGAAGACGGUCUUCGGAUUGUAAACCUCUGUCUUUGGGGAAGAAUAGAGACGGUACCCAAAGAGGAAGCUCCGGCUAACUACGUGCCAGCAGCCGCGGUAAUACGUAGGGAGCGAGCGUUGUCCGGAAUUACUGGGUGUAAAGGGAGCGUAGGCGGGCUUGUAAGUUGAAUGUCUAAUCCACCGGCUCAACCGGUGAUCGCGUUCAAAACUGCAGGUCUUGAGUGAAGUAGAGGCAGGCGGAAUUCCUAGUGUAGCGGUGAAAUGCGUAGAUAUUAGGAGGAACACCAGUGGCGAAGGCGACCUGCUGGGCUUUAACUGACGCUGAGGCUCGAAAGCGUGGGGAGCAAACA